GACGAACGCUGGCGGCGUGCUUAACACAUGCAAGUCGAACGGGAUCCGGGCUUUCGGGUUUGGUGAGAGUGGCGAACGGGUGAGUAACACGUGAGUAACCUGCCCCCUUCUUUGGGAUAACGUCGGGAAAUCGGCGCUAAUACUGGAUAUUCUUGCUGCAUCGCAUGGUGUGGUUUGGAAAGGGUUUCUGGUGGGGGAUGGGCUCGCGGCCUAUCAGCUUGUUGGUGGGGUGAUGGCCUACCAAGGCUUUGACGGGUCGCCGGCGUGAGAGGGUGUCCGGCCUCACUGGGACUGAGACACGGCCCUGACUCCUACGGGAGGCAGCAGUGGGGAAUAUUGCACGCUGUGCGCAAGCCUGAUGCAGCGACGCCGCGUGAGGGAUGACGGCCUUCGGGUUGUAAACCUCUUUCAGUAUGGAACAAGGAUCCUUCUUUUGGGGGGUUUGAGGGUACGUGCAGAAGAAGCGCCGGCUAACUACGUG
rnacentral:rRNA from 1 species